CUUGGAUCAAUGCAAAAGGAAAAUCUGAGAAUAUUUUCUUUAAAAGAAAUAAAUAAAAGGAAACAGAGCAUGGCAACUUCAGAGCUCAGUUUGUGCCUAACUCUUUGUGUGGGAUUUUUUCAUUCCAACUUGUACCUCCCAGGACAAGCAAAAUAGCAAUCUCUAAAUCAUGUUCAUCUUCUGAGAAUAAUACGUAAUAAACAGCCCUCCUUGAGGAGAUAUGCAGGCCAGAGCAAAACACACUGUGCAUCUCUCAUUCUUCAAGUCCAAAAUGUUUAUACAGAUAUUAUCUAAUGAAAACAAGCAUUAACUGGCCACCUUGUUAGGCCAAAGAGGAUGUGGCAGAGGAACGUGUGGCUUAGGGACUAAAAAGGGAUCCAGAGAUGUUUGUAACCACUGCUCGCUGCACCCAUGGUAAGUGCAGUGCUUUUUCUUCCUGUAACAGUGACUAGUCGACACCAUUUCUUUUGCACUCACUCAUGGAGUAAGUUUGAGCACCAGUUUCUCACAGCUGAAAUACUGGCCAAGAAAAUGGUCAUGCCCCUGCUUUAGUAACUUCAUGAUUUUCAUGGCUAACAUGGCAUCCGAGAGACACUUCAUUAUAUUUCUUUUCCAGAUCGUUCUACAUCUUUAUAUGCCCAAAUAGACUGAGAGUUGAUAGAUUUCUCCAGACAUAGUCUUAGAAAAAAAUGCCCAUCUCUACAACACCAGUCUUUCAUAGAUUAUUUUACCACCUUCUUAUCUUUUUAUAGGCAUUCUCUAAGUAAUUUCAGAGCCAAAGAAGAUGGGAGACUGCUGUGCUAUGCCCUGAAGAAAGGACAGGCAACAACAGAUUGGAAGCUCCAUUUUUCAAGCCCUAUGUGUUCACAGCAGGCACUCUGUGGUUCUCUGGAAACAUGCCAGAAGCUGUGAGGUGCAAGAGAAAACAGCAAAAUGACUGGCUAGUCUCUGAGCCGAAAGGGGAUAUUUCCCUGGGACCACCACUACACCUGCUAUGCUUUACUGAAAUCCAACCCUCACAUCUCUCAGCUACCCACACCUGGGAUCUGGCUAGCAAAAACACAGCUCUGGCAUGACCUGACUGACAAUGAGCCAGAAGAUCUGAGUUUGGGAAAAAUGUGUGGCUCUCAAGCUUGGCACGGGAGCUGGUAAGAGCAGACCAACACCAUGCAUCCAAGCGGAAACCUGUGUGUCGGAUCGGCUCAGCUCACCAAAGGGCCUCACUGACAGCAGAAAAAGAAUCCAGCAAAACAUGAGGCGAACAAACAUCCAAGGUCUUCAAUGGUAGGACAAUGAAAUAGUUGCCCCAAGUGUUUCUUAGCAUAGAUAGCUGAUAAACAGAUGAGGUGGUAUAGGCUUUGCUAUUCUCACAAUCGCUGUUCCAUACACAAUUCCAAAAGGGGCUCUUUUGAUGCCUUUGCUUUGUACUGUGAAGAAGGGGAGCUGUGUGUGGUCUGUUACAGAAAUCUGAUUUGGGUAUCAGCAUUUGGAAUUGAUCUUUGAAUCUAAUGCUGCCAAGUUCACUCACAGGCAAUGCAUAAAAGACUUCAAAAUAUUACAUCCUGGGUCAGGACUUCUUAAACUUUUUCCACGAGACGCUUUUCUCCCAAAAAAAGUGUUUAGGUACCCUGGGCAUGUAGGUAUAUAAAAUGGGUAUACAAAUCAAACACUGAAUGAUAAGAGACUUACAGAAAUUUCUUUAAGAAUAAUUCCACUGCGGGUGGGAAGAUAUGCAGCAAAAAGACAUUCUGGACAUGACACAGUCAGGACAUUCACAAACUCACUGAAGCUAUCAUUAUCUGCACAAGAUGGGCCCAUCAUCAAUAUUUCACCAUGGAUGGGAAAGCACCCAUGAGACCUUAUCCCUUCAUACAGGUCUAUUGGUUGCUGGGAGAGGGUCGCUUUCUUCGGUGGUAUAGCUCCGAUAAGCUGCUCAUGUUCCAGUAAGCCACCUCCCAACUACGCUUGUGCAAUCAACUCUAAUUAAACUCAGCAGGUCAAACUACAAAAAGACAGGGAAGUAGGAGGCCCUUUGUUGGAAACAGUUGAGGUUUCAGCAGGAAAGGGGGGAGGAGAAGGGUGUGAAAACAACAGAAAUUCAUUGUUUGUAUGAAACUGCCAAGCAAGUAAAACUCCUUAGUUUGCCAUACUAAUGAGAAAGACAUGCUUACUUAUUUU
rnacentral:lncRNA from 1 species